AUGACUAAAACUCCGUUCUCCGGAACAGUGGUACGAGUUACUAACUUGUUGGAAAUAAUACAUACCGAUGUAUGCGGUCCAAUGAGUGUUGAUGCUCGUGGCGGGUAUCGUUAUUUUCUGACCUUCACAGAUGAUUUGAGCAGAUAUGCGUAUCUUUACCUAAUAAUAAAGAAAAUUGGGUUUCGGUCGUCCGUCGCCAUUGGCAUUUUUGCAGAAAAACCCUUGUGUUUUCUGAUAAUUGAACCCGACGUCCCUCUUAAAAGUGGAUCUGAGAAAACGGUUCAUUCUUAUAAAAAGGACCCUGUACUGUUUAGUAUUCAACCCGUGAUCCUUUGUUUCGUUUUUAUCCAGCCGUUCCCUUUCCAACCACGGCGGUGGAGGAGAAGUAGGGCGACGGAGGAGGAGAAGUAG
rnacentral:rRNA from 1 species